rnacentral:rRNA from 1 species
AUUGCCCGGUAGCUAAGUGCGGAAGAGAUAACCGCUGAAAGCAUCUAAGCGGGAAACUUGCCUUGAGAUGAGUCUUCCCUGACUCUUUAAGAGUCCUAAAGGAACGUUUAAGACUAAGACGUUGAUAGGUUGGGUGUGUAAGCGUAGCGAUAUGUUGAGCUAACCAAUACUAAUGAACCGUGAGGCUUAACCUG